CUUCCAGAUGGCAAUGGAUUUGUGACUUCUUCAUUUUAAUCCAGUAAUAUCCUUGUUGAACUUCUGAUUUAGAGCAAAUCAGAUACCCAGAGAUAAAUCAAGGUAGACCAUGUACCCUGAAGUUCUAAGGCCAUGAGUACAAUCCCUAGCUGAUGUGUGACUUGUGAUAAGGUGAGGUUGCAGAAAGGAUUUCCCUGUAGAGGUGUCAUGAAGGAGAAAGAAGGAAGUUUGCAUAGGUCUGUCUGAGGAAGGCAGACAGAGAGAGAGGCAGGAGCUUUCUACAGAAGUGGAGAUUCUUUAUU